UCACACACACAGUGUGUGUGACCAAUCACACAAUUCACAAUUCAAAACCCUAGGUUUCAUUCCCAAACCAUUUCAUUAUUACAUAUAUUCAAAUCAUUUCAUUCUCAAAUCGCUUCCGCCGAUUACAUCUCUGUUCUUAAUUUUUCUCAGAUCUUGUUGAACUAAUCAUCAACAAUGGUUCAACUCUUGGUUAUACUCCUUGCCCUUUCAAAAAGCAUGAUUCAAGGAAGAGUUCGGUUCGUUAUGGGUUUUUUGUGUUCGAUUCACAAGGGUGGUGGAAGAGCUCAUAUACAAUAGUCUCGAUGCUGGUGCUACAAAGGUAUUUGUUGCUUUGGUUGUUGGCACAGGCUACAUCAAAGUGAAAAGACACUGAUACGAUCUUCAGUUGAGUUAUAUAGUAUCAAGUAAGUUUUUCUCUCUUCAAGAUUGAAAAAUCACUUCGAAAUCAAGACGAUCUUUGUCAUGUUCUUUCUGAAAUUCAUAUCCUUAUUAUUAAAACCUCUUUUUAAUCAUGAAUUUAGUCUCGAUUUACCGUCAAAUCUUAUAUUUUUUUAUAUCUUUGUUCAUUAUUUAGUAUGUAUUAUUUGUCUUAUAAACCAUCCUUUUGAGACUUUUUGUGAAUCUUUUUAUUACUAAAUUAGGUUUGGAUCGUUUCUUUUGAUUUAUAUCUUCUUGAUUUAGUGUGUAUGAAGGUGCAUUUUUAUAAGUUUCUUGAAAGUGAGAUAUAUGAUUAUUUGUUCGUGUUGCCUCUAUAAUCUUUGUACGAAUAAUUUACAUUAAAUUCUUAUCUUUGGUUAUUGCUUUAGAUCAUCAAAAGAUAUAUCCAUAAAAUAUAUUAGUUUGCAUGUAUUUUCAUGACUUUAUAUUAUACAAAUUUUGUAUAUCGGUCUUUUUCACUUUUAAGUUAUUAAGGAUCUUCUUUUACGAUCUUCAUAUCGUGAUGUUUUUUGGAAAAACUAAUAAAUUAGCAUUACUUUCAUAGUGUAACUUUAGGCAAGAAAUUAUUGUGAUUUAUAUGUUUUAAAUGUGUUUUUAAUGCUCUUUCAAAAUGUGUUGAAAGUUGGUCAAUUAUUCGUGAGUGAUAUAUGUUAUAAUCAAUUAGUUUCUUAUUUUGAAAAUUGAUUCCUUUUAUAAAGUUCUUAAGAUUCAAAUUUUGAAUAUUUUCAAAUAAAUGUUGUUAAUUAGACGGUUUUAUAUUGUGCAAAUGUGUUAUACAUAUCAUUUAAUUUUCUUUAUUGUUCAUAAAUGAUUUUGAUUAAGCAGUCAAGUCUUAUGGCUUGUUUGGUGACUUUUAUAGUCAAAGUACCAUUUUGGGGGGCCAUGAUUGAUGGCAUAAUUGUGCCUUUAAGAGGUAUUUUAGGUCAUAUUGAUGACUAGAUUCAUUGUAUUAAAUUUAGAAUAUAUUAUUUCUUUUACUUUGUGAUGUUAUGAUAACCCUUUCGUUGACUAAUUGGAUAAUUAAAUAAUAAAUUUACGAUGAUUGGGAUAUAAAUAUUUUUUAAUUUUGAUUUCUUUAUUUCCCUAACAAAAAUCUUAAGUUUUUUUAUGUAUUUUUGUUCUCAUAAGAAAGAUUAGUAUGUAUUAUGAUUUAUUUAGUAUUGCGUGUCUAACCAAAGUUCUUACUUUGGUUAGACAUGAUCAAUUUUCAUAAUUGUAUCUUAUUUUUGUUAGUUCUAAAAUUCUUAUUUUUGAAUAAGAUGUUAUAUUAUUAUUAUUUAUUUUAUCAGGAUAUAUAUGUCAUAGUUGGGUUUAAUUUCCUCCAACCUAUUUUUUUUCUUUAAUUUAUCAUUCUUAUGCUUGUUUUUGCUUGCUAUGUUUUUCAGGAUCUUGGAGAGAGACCUUACGGGUUUUCUUAUCAGACUUUAAAGUCUUAUUAUCUAAACGUCCGGAGAUAUCUUUGCGUAUCUUUCGGUUAGAUGAUAAACUUUAUUGGAUGAAAGUAAUCCCUGAUGCGGCUAUUGUAUCUAUGAUACAACUCAUCUACGAGUAUGUAGAUCCUGAC
rnacentral:lncRNA from 1 species